rnacentral:rRNA from 1 species
CCUACGGGAGGCUGCAGUGGGGAAUUUUGGACAAUGGGGGCAACCCUGAUCCAGCCAUGCCGCGUGAGUGAAGAAGGCCUUCGGGUUGUAAAGCUCUUUCGGCCGGGAAGAAAUCGCUCAAGCUAAUACCUUGGGUGGAUGACGGUACCGGAAGAAGAAGCACCGGCUAACUACGUGCCAGCAGCCGCGGUAAUACGUAGGGUGCGAGCGUUAAUCGGAAUUUGUGGGCGCGGAGCGUGCGCACGCGGGUGAAAGCCCCGGGCUGAACCUGGGAACUGCGUGUGUGACUGGGGUGCUCGAGUGCGGCAGAGGGGGGUGGAAUUCCACGUGUAGCAGUGAAAUGCGUAGAGAUGUGGAGGAACACCGAUGGCGAAGGCAGCCCCCUGGGUAGACACUGACGCUCAUGCACGAAAGCGUGGGGAGCAAACAGGAUUAGAUACCCCAGUAGUC